AUACCAAACUACUAUAAAAUUAUAAAGAAACCAAUGGAUUUAUCCACCGUGAAAAAGAAGCUUCAGAAAAAACAUUCCCAACACUACCAAAUCCCGGAUGACUUUGUGGCCGAUGUCCGUUUGAUCUUCAAGAACUGUGAAAGGUUUAAUGAAAUGAUGAAAGUUGUUCAAGUUUAUGCAGACACACAAGAGAUUAAUUUGAAGGUAAGCUUUUCAGACCAUGCAAACUUGGUGAAGGAAUAUGCAUUACCAAUAGGUGAAUAUUCCUAUCUUUUGCUUGCAGGCUGAUUCAGAAGUAGCUCAGGCAGGGAAAGCAGUUGCAUUGUACUUUGAAGAUAAACUCACAGAGAUCUACUCAGACAGGACCUUCGCACCUUUGCCAGAGUUUGAGCAGGAAGAGGAUGAUGGUGAGGUAACUGAGGACUCUGAUGAAGACUUUAUACAGCCCCGCAGAAAACGCCUAAAGUCAGAUGAGAGACCAGUACAUAUAAAGUAAAAUGACAUGGAUUUAAAUCAAUUGUUUAAAAAAAAAAAAA
rnacentral:lncRNA from 1 species